CCUACGGGGGGCUGCAGUGGGGAAUAUUGGACAAUGGGGGCAACCCUGAUCCAGCCAUGCCGCGUGUGUGAAGAAGGCCCUCGGGUUGUAAAGCACUUUCAGUGAGGAAGAACGCCUGGUGGUUAAUACCCAUCAGGAAAGACAUCACUCACAGAAGAAGCACCGGCUAACUCCGUGCCAGCAGCCGCGGUAAUACGGAGGGUGCGAGCGUUAAUCGGAAUUACUGGGCGUAAAGCGCGCGUAGGUGGCUUGAUAAGCCGGUUGUGAAAGCCCCGGGCUCAACCUGGGAACGGCAUCCGGAACUGUCAAGCUAGAGUGCAGGCGAGGAAGGUAGCAUUCCCGGUGUAGCGGUGAAAUGCGUAGAGAUCGGGAGGAAUACCGGUGGCGAAGGCGGCCUUCUGGACUGACACUGACACUGAGGUGCGAAAGCGUGGGUAGCAAACAGGAUUAGAUACCCGAGUAGUC
rnacentral:rRNA from 1 species